GGGGAUGUGGCUUAGUUGUAGAGUGUUUGCCUCGCAUGCAAGAUCCCCAGGUUCAAUUCCUCAGUACCA
rnacentral:tRNA from 1 species